rnacentral:lncRNA from 1 species
GGUUGUAUGACUAUUAAAGAAUUAAUGGUAUGCUACUGUUGCCUUUACUUACUGUGCGUAUUGCUGUUAAUUUUGUUCAUUCCGCCCUAGAAUGAAUGUAUGUUGGCUGAAGCAGAUCAACACAAGGCGGGUGAUGAAUGCAAUGCAGGAUACGUUUAUCCUGUCGAAGCAUUCGGUUCAUACAAUUCCCUCAGGUUAAAUGUCUUACUUUGAUUUGCGUUUUCUUGAUCGUU